CACUUUGCUAUUGCGGUUUCUUUACAACUAAAAAAAAUCAAGCCACUUCUGAUCGACAUUAUAAAGCGUCGCCUUUUUUUAAAAUCAUGGAAUUGAUUUCUUCCGAUAUAUGUAUUUAUAUUUUGUUUUCCUUAUCUUUUCACGAAAAUACCAGCUGGAAUCGUCGCUUUAUGUUGAUUUCGAGAGAUGAGCCAGUGAGCUAACAUGUGAGCGGUUGUGUUUAUUGGAAUGACAGCCACCUUUUAAUGUGUCACGAAUAAUAGUUAGUACUAAAUUUAGCUAUUGACAGGAAGUUCAGAAUAUACCGACGUUGUUUAUGUUAGUUCUUUACGCUAACGGUUGUUUCUACCGAGCCGGUUGACGUUUAAAAAAAAAGAAGCUAACGUUGAGCAUGUCCUCUGUGAGCCGCCGGUAGACGUCGGACACCAACGUAUAGGACGCGAAGCGCGUUUUUAACAAUGUCCACGUGUAAACGGCUGCUUCACUUCGCGCGGCACAGAAACGUGUGGACUCAUGUUCGGAGGAGCGUCACGACGUGGUCGCCGGUCGGAGCCGCGUUCAACGCCAAACCCGCCCGGAGAGCCGAGCUGCGGCUGCAGAGCGCGGGUCUGUUCGGGGUGCCGGAGCUGAGUUGCCCCGCAGGCUUCCAGGUCGCUGCGAAGAGCGCCCUGAGAAACACGGAGCUCCUGGUGGGGAGAGCGUGUUCGUGUCCCCCGGGCGUCGAGACCGUGGAGUCCUUCGACCAGCUGUCGGACGGUCUGUGCAGAGUGGCCGAUCUGGCCGACUUCGUAAAAGUGGCACACCCAGACCCAGCUUUCCGCGAGGCUGCCGAGAAAACCUGCAUCGACAUCGGCACAGUUGUGGAAAAGCUGAACACAAACGUCGAGUUGUGCAAGAGCCUGAAGAAUUUGCUGGACGACCCAGACGUUGUGGCUCAGCUGGACCCUGACACGAGACGAGUCGCAGAGUUGUUCAUGUUCGACUUUGAAAUCAGUGGAAUUCAUCUGGAUGACAAACUGAGGAAAGAGGCCGUCGCUCUGCACGUGAAGCUGUUGGAUCUGAACAACGAGUUCCUGGUCGGCUCUAACAUGCCCAACAGAAUCGCCAGGUCCGUGAUUCCAGAACAUCUGCACCUGCAGUUCGCCAGCGAAGGAAGCUUCAUCCAAGUAGGCGGUUUGCACGCAGACUCCCCCGAUGACCUGGUGCGAGAGAUCGCCUACAGGAUCUACCUCCAUCCCAACGCGGACCUGAUGAACUGCCUGGAGGAGCUGCUGAAGUGCAGAUACAAAAUGGCCAAGCUGGUGGGCUACGAGUCGUACGGACACCGAGCCCUGAAGGGAACCAUGGCCCAAACCCCCGAGACGGUGAUGAGCUUUCUUCAGUUGUUAACAGCCAAGCUGUCAGACAGAACAGCAAAAGACUUCAGGAUGAUGAGCGACAUGAAAAAGAAACUCAACCCUCGAAAUUCUGAGCUGAUGCCCUGGGAUCAUCCGUACCUCAGUGGCGUGUUGCGUGCUGAAAGGUACAACAUUGAGCCCAGUCUGUACAGUCCCUACCUGUCUCUGGGAGCCUGCAUGGACGGUCUGAACAUCCUCUUCUCUCAGCUGUACGGCGUCUCCCUCAUGUCAGAGCAUCCCAGCACGGGAGAGGUGUGGAGCGAGGACGUUCGCAAACUGGCGGUGGUACAUGAGACGGAGGGGUUACUAGGAUAUAUCUACUGUGACUUUUUCCACCGGUCCGAUAAACCUCAUCAGGACUGUCACUUCACCAUCCGCGGCGGCCGCCGGUGCCAGGACACGGGUCAGUAUCAGCUGCCGGUCGUGGUGCUGAUGCUGAGUCUGCCCCACCCGACCAAGAGCGCCCCCACCCUGCUCACCCCGGGCAUGAUGGAGAACCUCUUCCACGAGAUGGGCCAUGCCAUGCACUCCAUGCUGGGACGCACUCGCUACCAGCACGUCACAGGAACCAGAUGUGCAACCGACUUCGCCGAGGUCCCGUCCAUCCUCAUGGAAUACUUUGCGACCGACUAUCGGGUCAUCAGCCAGUUUGCACGGCAUUAUCAAACUGGACAGCCGCUGCCUGAGAGUAUGGUGGCUCGGCUGUGCGAGUCGAAGAAGGUGUGCGGAGCUGCAGACACGCAGCUGCAGAUUUUUUAUGCCGUCCUGGACCAGAUCUACCACGGCAAACCUCAGAACCGCUCCACCACAGAAAUCCUGGAGGAGAUGCAGCAGAAAUUCUACGGCUUGCCUUACACGCCCAACACGGCGUGGCAGCUGAGAUUCAGCCACCUGAUUGGCUACGGGGCCAAGUAUUACUCCUACCUCAUGUCCCGGGCCGUGGCCUCGAUGGUGUGGCGACAGUGCUUCGUUCAGGAUCCUUUAAACAGGGAGAUGGGAGAACGCUACCGUCGGGAGAUGCUGGCCCACGGAGGAGCCAAGGAGCCCAUGCUAAUGGUGGAAGGGAUGCUGCAGAGACGACCCACCAUGGAGGACUUUGUGGACGCGCUGGUGUCUGAGCUCAACCCGAACUUCGAGACCUUCAUCAUGGACUCUGAGAGCUGAAGAGAUCUCCGAGUUCCGUUGGCGUGGGAACGGACCCGAACGAGCCCAGAGACGCUGCAGAGCUCAAGAGUCUGCCCGACGACGACAGAGCAGCUGUUAGCGUCUGUUUCAGCACCGUCAGAGAGUAAUUAUCAGCAGAGCCAACGUCCUCGCUCGUCUGAACUCUGAUCUGAGACCCGACAUGGUUGUUGAAGGUGUGAACAAAGCAUCACUUAACAGGCCGAAUAGGAACAUUUACCUCUGAUCUGUUUCCAGUUCAGUCUUAUCAGCAGAGACUGUUUUGGCUCCACUUCAAUUCAAUCUAGAAACAAUUUAAAUGUAAUUAAUUCUCCUUAAAUUUUACACAAAACCUUUGAUAACAAAGGUUGUUAUAACGUCUUCUUUAUAAACUUCUCUGUUGCAACGUGGGCUUAGAUACAACAGAUGUUGUUAUGGAAAGUUUUGCCUUGGAAACCUAUUAUUUCCAAUAUAGAUAAUGUCCAUUAUCAAUUCAUCUUUUGAGUGGGUUUUUUCCACGUAACUUGAUACUGUAAAAUAUAAUUCCAACCGCAGUUUGACAUCAACAAAAUGUUUAUUUUGUGUGAUCUAUGAUCCAAUACCGAAACUUUUCUUUGUGAAAAAUCUGUUGUACAUGAGUCUCCAACUGGAAAUGCAUUAAUAAAUCUUCGGUGGCCCUGAAGUGCAAAACAAAAAAUGGCAAAUCAAAACACUGUUUUCCUAUUUGUCGUUGUGAUUCGAAACUUCAGGGCCACCGUAUAAAUCA